UGUGGAGAAAAAUCCAGAAAUGUUUUCCUACAAAAACGUAAUUUCUCUUCCACUGAGGAAAGAAAGACAUGGAUAUCUUGGAUGGCAUUGGGAUUAGCAUGUUGGCAAUGAAAGGUGGGACAGACACCAGAGAUGGAGUUUGGAGAGUAAUGUCAGCAACAAUCACAAACUCCCUGGCCAAGAGCAUAAAUAUGCGUGGUGUUAAUGGGAAGAUCAGCUUUAAAAGCUUGCAGUUACGAAACAUUGUUCUUGCUGCUUUGAGAAAAAAUCGCCUCACACAACAUGCCACCGAUCAGGAGAUAGAAUCAACCAUUCAAAGAUGGCUUCGGCUUGCUCCUGAUCGAGAUGGAGGAAGGAGAGAGCGCUUAAGGAGAAAA